GUGCCAGCAGCCGCGGUAAUACGUAGGGUGCAAGCGUUGUCCGGAAUUAUUGGGCGUAAAGAGCUCGUAGGCGGUUCGUCGCGUCGGCUGUGAAAACCCGGAGCUCAACUCCGGGCCUGCAGUCGAUACGGGCGGACUUGAGUGUUGCAGGGGAGACUGGAAUUCCUGGUGUAGCGGUGAAAUGCGCAGAUAUCAGGAGGAACACCGGUGGCGAAGGCGGGUCUCUGGGCAACUACUGACGCUGAGGAGCGAAAGCGUGGGGAGCGAACAGGAUUAGAAACCCUCGUAGUCC
rnacentral:rRNA from 1 species